AUUGAACGCUGGCGGCAUGCUCUACACAUGCAAGUCGAACGGUAACAGGCCGCAAGGUGCUGACGAGUGGCGAACGGGUGAGUAAUGCAUCGGAACGUGCCCAGUCGUGGGGGAUAACUACUCGAAAGAGUAGCUAAUACCGCAUACGAUCUAUGGAUGAAAGCGGGGGACCGUAAGGCCUCGCGCGAUUGGAGCGGCCGAUGUCAGAUUAGGUAGUUGGUGGGGUAAAGGCUCACCAAGCCAACGAUCUGUAGCUGGUCUGAGAGGACAACCAGCCACACUGGGACUGAGACACGGCCCAGACUCCUACGGGAGGCAGCAGUGGGGAAUUUUGGACAAUGGGCGCAAGCCUGAUCCAGCAAUGCCGCGUGCAGGAAGAAGGCCUUCGGGUUGUAAACUGCUUCUGUACGGAACGAAACGGCUCUGGUUAAUACCCGGGGCUAAUGACGGUACCGUAAGAAUAAGCACCGGCUAACUACGUG
rnacentral:rRNA from 1 species